UACGCGAGUAACUCGUGAAUGUGGUGCUAUUUUGCUAUAUUUUAUUUGGGUAUAGCAAAGUUUCUAACCUUGCUAGAAAAACCGGAGUCAAGUGGGUAGAUGCUAAAAUGUUCAUGGUCUACAAGCAAAUUAAUGACUUGGUGGUACAAAAGAGGUAUUUGCUCCGUUGACCAACAUAUCGAAAGAGGAACCUAAAACCUUUCAGUGUCACGAUAAACGAGGAAUUUGAAGAAGAUCCUAUAGAGGAAGGGGAGAUGGGACAGUUUAAACCAAUGCAUAUUUGGGAUGAGCGCGAGGAGGUGGAGGAGGAAGAGGAGAACAAAGAAGACGAAUGGGUUGAAAGUGAUAUAAAGUCGUCGGAGUGGAAACAUGAUGUAUCAACCUCACUUGAGAGAGCAUGUUCAUGAUGCAUCAAGUCAAGCAAAGAUAAGAAAACUUGGAUAAAUUUUUUAAGAGCUUAAAUAGGGAAGCGUCCUAUUGUUUGCUUGGCACAUUGGAGACAAUAUUCAAUUAAUUUUUUUUCGCAUAUUUUGCAUAUUUUUCAAAAAUUUAAUUAUGUUUCUUGUAUAUGCUUAGUUGUUUUCUUUGAAUUGAAGACAAUUUUUUGUGGUUGCAAACUAGGUGAUAUAUGAAUUUAUUUGAUUGAAUAUGUUUUAGAAGCA